GGUGGCAGGGUAGCCUAGUGGUUAGAGUGGAGGGGCGGCAGGGUAGCCUAGUGGUUAGAGUGGAGGGGUGCAGGGUAGACUAGUGGUUAGAGUGGAGGGGCGGCAGGGUAGACUAGUGGUUAGAGUGGAGGGGCGGCAGGGUAGACUAGUGGUUAGAGUGGAGGGGCGGCAGGGUAGCCUAGUGGUUAGAGUGGAGGGGCGGCAGGGUAGCCUAGUGGUUAGAGUGGAGGGGCGGCAGGGUAGCCUAGUGGUUAGAGUGGAGGGGCGGCAGGGUAGAAUAGUGGUUAGAGGGGAGUGGAGGCAGGGUAGCCUAGUGGGUAGAGUGGAGGGGCGGCAGGGUAGCCUAGUGGUUAGAGUGGAGGGGUGGCAGGGUAGCCUAGUGGUUAGAGUGGAGGGGCGGCAGGGUAGCCUAGUGGUUAGAGUGGAGGGGUGGCAGGGUAGCCUAGUGGUUAGAGUGAAGGGGCGGCAGGGUAGCCUAGUGGUUAGAGUGGAGGGGCGGCAGGGUAGUCUAGUGGUUAGAGUGGAGGGGCGGCAGGGUAGCCUAGUGGUUAGAGUGUUGGACUAGUGACCGGAAGGUUGCAAGUUCAAACCCCCGAGCUGACAAGGUACAAAUCUGUCGUUCUGCCCCUGAACAGGCAGUUAACCCACUGUUCCCAGGCCGUCAUUGAAAAUAAGAAUUUGUUCUUAACUGACUUGCCUCGUUAAAUAAAG
ensembl:lncRNA